ACGAACGCUGGCGGCAUGCCUAACACAUGCAAGUCGAACGAGACCUUCGGGUCUAGUGGCGCACGGGUGCGUAACGCGUGGGAACCUGCCCUUAGGUUCGGAAUAACUCCCCGAAAGGGGUGCUAAUACCGGAUAAUGUCUUCGGACCAAAGAUUUAUCGCCUUUGGAUGGGCCCGCGUUGGAUUAGCUAGUUGGUAGGGUAAAAGCCUACCAAGGCGACGAUCCAUAGCUGGUCCGAGAGGAUGAUCAGCCACACUGGGACUGAGACACGGCCCAGACUCCUACGGGAGGCAGCAGUGGGGAAUAUUGGACAAUGGGCGAAAGCCUGAUCCAGCAAUGCCGCGUGAGUGAUGAAGGCCUUAGGGUUGUAAAGCUCUUUUACCCGGGAUGAUAAUGACAGUACCGGGAGAAUAAGCUCCGGCUAACUCCGUG
rnacentral:rRNA from 1 species